rnacentral:rRNA from 1 species
UACGGGGGGGGCAAGCGUUGUUCGGAAUUACUGGGCGUAAAGGGCCAGUAGGCGGCCAACUAAGUCCGACGUGAAAUCCCAAGGCUUAACCUUGGAACUGCGUCGGAUACUGGAUGGCUUGAAUUCGGGAGAGGGAUGCAGAAUUCCAGGUGUAGCGGUGAAAUGCGUAGAUAUCUGGAGGAAUACCGGUGGCGAAGGCGGCAUCCUGGACCGACACUGACGCUGAGGAGCGAAAGCCAGGGGAGCAAACGGG